AAUGCAUAAUAUAAUAUUAAAAUAUAAAUAACUAUUUUUAAAUACAUAGAAUUAUCGAAAACUUACACAUUUUUGAACGAUUACAAUUUAAGUUUUUUUAUUAUUAUUAUUAUUAUUAGCUAGUAAAAAAGUAAAUUACACAUUCUGAACAAUUAUACUUAACUGUCACCCAUCCCCUCUGUGGGACGCCCAAGUUUACUUCACUAUUUUACAAUUAAAUCCAAAUCUAAUCAUGACAAACUAUUUAUCGUUGGAAAUGUUUAAGACUCCGAAAUAGAUACUUUACCACUGUAUUGGUUAAAAAAUAUGUAGGAAAAGUUAUAGAUUAAUUUAUGACAAGACUGCACCUCAAAAAUCUACAUAACAGGAGUUCUGACCUUUGUCACAAAAAGUCUUCUUCCUUGCCUUUUUUUCUGUCAAACUUUAGAAAUCAUCAGAAAUUACAUAUCAAUCGAAAACUUAAAAUCUCAAAAUUCAUCCUUUGAAAACCAUUUUAAAAUCAGACAUUGCAUUACCAUGAAAAUGGUACAUCAAUAUCACGUUACAAAAUGUUUUCAUUCAUGAAUUAUAAAAAUUUAAGUCUGGAUAGCACUUUCAGGUCUAUGUUCAAAAAUGUGAGUGACAAUUAAAGGGGUCAUAUGAUGCAAUUUAAAUUUUUUUCCUUUCUGUUUGGAGUGUUACAAACUCUUGGUGCAUAAAGAAGAUCUGUAAAGCUGCAAAGACUAAAGUCUCAAAUCCAAAGAGAUAUUCUUAAUAAAAGUUUAGACUCAUCCACGCCCUCCUAAAACGGCUCGUUCUAACACGCCCCCACAUCUCUACGUCACUAUGUGGGAAGAUUUGCAUAAAGCCGCCCAAAUGUUCACAAAAAGAAAGAAGGUGUAACUUUGAUUCUCACUGUUGCCACUGCUGCCAUGUUGUGGAGACGCUGUGUGUUUUUUUGUGAAAGCAAAACUACUUUGUUUGGCCUUCCAAAAGAUGACACAACUAGAAAUCAGUGGUUAAGUUGUAUUUACAACACUGUUCCAGAACAGUUCAACCCAAAUAUUCAGAUGUGUGCAGCACAUUUUAUGAAGGAUUGUUUCCUGAUCCUGGGAGAGAAGACUAAAAUGCCGGCUGUACUGACUCACAGUCUGUAAGUAUGUUUUCAUAUGUAAAGGAUUCGCCACUGAUGAUUCAAACGCGAGUUUUGAGCAGUGUAGAGCAGCGGUUCUCAAUUCCAGUCCUCGCGACCCCUGCUCUGCACAUUUGUAUGUUUCUCUUAUAACUUCAGACGUUUGUUCUAUUCGAACGUAAGUGCCCUGCCAAGUGGACAUCACAGGAUAUUCCGCCAUGAUUCCAGUUAGAAGCGAACAUAUGUGUUCCAUUCAAAGUGCAUUGAAGUGUGCGAGACGUGAAUUUAAAAUGUAUUUAUUUAAUCACUGCAUUUAUUUUUGUUAAAUGUUAGCCAAAAUCAUCACAAUUUAAAGAACCAAAGACUUAAACUACUUCAGUCUGUGUGCAGUGAAUUUAUUUAAUACACGAAUUUUACAAUUACUGAAAUAAAUGAACUUUUCCACGACAUUCGAAUUUAUUGAUGUGGGAGGAGAUUGGCCAGUAAUGAAUUUCAGGUGCGAAUGGUUAGUAAUGUGACCAGGAAAGUAUAAAAUAGUUGUUGCAUUGACAUGGUAGGAUUGGCAUGUUCCUGAAGUUGUGCUCGAUGUUUAGCCAACCCUGGUUCUUGAUGUGCAGCCUUUUAACUUCUGUGCUCGACGUGCAGUUUUUAUCCUUUUGUAUAGGUAUAUGGAGUUAUGAGCUGUGUGAAUUGUUUGCGUUGAAUGGUUGAUUAUUGAGUGCCUAGUUAUAUUUUUAUGAUCUCUCUUUUCUAGGCUGAUUUAUUAAGAGGUUUUACACACUGUCAGGAAAGUGGGGCAGGCAAACAUUUAUUGCUGCAGUACCUUCAAUGGGCUGAUGGCUGUGUUGGAAUGCUGAAUAUCCGUAUCUUCUCUGUAUCUAUCAUGUUUGGUCUUGGGAUUAAGCGCUGAGAUUGGUGUGUAGUGGCUUUGUAUAGGGCCGGGCCUGCAUCGGCACUUAACCUCCCCGGGUGUAGGUGAUUUGGGUGGAGUGGCACUGCUGUGUGGUGUGUAUUACCUAGAUGGUUGACACUGAAAUGGUGUUUUGAAGGUUACUCUUUGUUUGCGGUGUAUGCUGUGGGUCUUCUCUUUUCUUCUGUCCCUUACAGGUGAUCGGCGGUGCAUAAGAGCAGGCCCGACCCUCCUUGCCAUUGAGGAGAGCUAUUUUCUACUGUUGUGGAUUUUAUUAUUGAUGCAUGUUUUUUUUUUUUUGAUUGUUUUUAAUGUUUUGCUUAGGAAUAAAAUUGUGAUAUUCAACCAACUACGUUUACGGUUUAAAAAAAAAUUAAUACUUGAUUUGUGGAGGGCUCCUCCUGCCCUAAAUAAGGAGGAGGCGUAGUCAGUUUAUAGUUUCUUACACUACAUUGAGAUGCACCUGUAUGUGUUUCUGGGUGCUCCUCAAACAGCUGCAUCCUACCGAGGCUGCGUCCUUCCUAGUUCAGUCCUUCAGAGUCUUGUAGGAUAGAGUCCUCCUUAGCAUUAAACGCUAGGAGACAGGGCUGUCCAAACUCAGUCCUGGAGGAGCCGGUGUCCUGAACAGUUUAGUUCCA
ensembl:lncRNA